rnacentral:rRNA from 2 species
GCGAGUGAAGCGGCAACAGCUCAAAUUUGAAAGCUGGCUUAGGCCCGCAUUGUAAUUUGCAGAGGAUGCUUCUGGCGAGGUGCCUUCCGAGUUCCCUGGAACGGGACGCCAUAGAGGGUGAGAGCCCCGUAUGGAUGGACACCAAACCUGUGUGAAGCUCCUUCAACGAGUCGAGUAGUUUGGGAAUGCUGCUCUAAAUGGGAGGUAAAUCUCUUCUAAAGCUAAAUACCGGCCAGAGACCGAUAGCGCACAAGUAGAGUGAUCGAAAGAUGAAAAGCACCUUGAAAAGGGGGUUAAACAGUACGUGAAAUUGUUGAAAGGGAAGCGCUUGUGACCAGACUUGCGCCGGGCAGCUCAUCAGGGGUUCUCCCCUGUGCACUCUGCCCGGCUCAGGCCAGCAUCGGUUCUCGUGGGAGGAUAAGAACGGUAGGAACGUGGCCCCCCUCCGGGGGGGUGUUAUAGCCUACCGUACGAUACUCCCGUGGGGACCGAGGUUCGCGCUCCGCAAGGAUGC